UUGUUGUUAUGCGUUCGACGCUCUUUUUUUACACAUUAUUAUAGAUUAAUAUGAAGAGUAGCAUAAAAUUCUUAUGUUGAACAUUUGCAUUCGUUUUAUCUCGAAAUGAUUACUUAUAUGCUUCAGCAUAUGAUGCAAAUUUAAGUACACAAUUUUAUUAGCGAUUGACGUAGGUAUCAGUUUAAUUAAAUAUUGGUAUAAGAAAAACAUUUACGGUUUUUUUUUUUCAAUUAUAACAUAAAGACAAGAUACCGCGCCUAACACUAUAGACGAAGUCAUCUUUAAUUUUCAGUGAGUAUAUUAUAAGAACUCUAGAAUCAUUUGAUUGGUUUUAUGUUUAUUUCGAAUAAAUCCCACGGUGAUUAUAAAUAUAGGUAGGUAUUCCGGUACUCGUGAUAAUAGGACACUGGAGUCGGACUUAGAAAUAUGCCGCCUACAAUUAGAAGGAGAUUUACCGCCCUUAAAUGUUCAUAAUUUUUUUUAUAACCAACAAAAUGCAUAAUGAAUGUAUAUAUCAAUAUAAAAAUAGGUCUUGUAGGGUGAAAUAACCAUCUUUAGAAUUUGUUCACACACUUAUCUCUGUUAUUUUGUCCACGGUUAUCGAAAUCGAUUGAAAAUUU